CAGCACCUCAAGUGGUCAGGAUGAUUAUUGGGCCUAAAGCAUCCGUAGCCUGCUUUGUUAGUUUUCGGUUAAAUCCAUACGCUCAACGUAUGGGCUGCCGGGAAUACUGCAAAGCUAGGGAGUGGGAGAGGUAGACGGUACUCGGCAGGAAGGGGUAAAAUCCUUUGAUCUAUUGAUGACCACCUGUGGCGAAGGCGGUCUACCAGAACACGUCCGACGGUGAGGGAUGAAAGCUGGGGGAGCAAACCGGAUUAGAUACCCGAGUAGUCC
rnacentral:rRNA from 1 species